rnacentral:rRNA from 1 species
GAUGAACGCUAGCUACAGGCUUAACACAUGCAGGUCGAGGGGAAACGACAUCGAAAGCUUGCUUUUGAUGGGCGUCGACCGGCGCACGGGUGAGUAACGCGUAUCCAACCUGCCCACCACUUGGGGAUAACCUUGCGAAAGUAAGACUAGUACCCAAUGACGUCUCUAGAAGACAUCUGAAAGAGAUUAAAGAUUUAUCGGUGAUGGAUGGGGAUGCGUCUGAUUAGCUUGUUGGCGGGGUAACGGCCCACCAAGGCGACGAUCAGUAGGGGUUCUGAGAGGAAGGUCCCCCACAUUGGAACUGAGACACGGUCCAAACUCCUACGGGAGGCAGCAGUGAGGAAUAUUGGUCAAUGGGCGAGAGCCUGAACCAGCCAAGUAGCGUGCAGGAUGACGGCCCUAUGGGUUGUAAACUGCUUUUAUAAGGGAAUAGAGUGAGUCUCGUGAGACUUUUUGCAUGUACCUUAUGAAUAAGGACCGGCUAAUUCCGUGCCAGCCGCCGCCGUAA